rnacentral:rRNA from 1 species
AACAGGAUUAGAUACCCUGGUAGUCCAUGCCGUAAACGGUGGGUACUAGGUGUGGGGCUCCUUCCACGGACUCCGUGCCGUAGCUAACGCAUUAAGUACCCCGCCUGGGGAGUACGGCCGCAAGGCUAAAACUCAAAGAAAUUGACGGGGGCCCGCACAAGCGGCGGAGCAUGUGGAUUAAUUCGAUGCAACGCGAAGAACCUUACCUGGGUUUGACAUACACCAGAAAGCGGCAGAGAUGUCGCCCCCCUUGUGGUUGGUGUACAGGUGGUGCAUGGCUGUCGUCAGCUCGUGUCGUGAGAUGUUGGGUUAAGUCCCGCAACGAGCGCAACCCUUAUCUUAUGUUGCCAGCGCGUAAUGGCGGGGACUCGUGAGAGACUGCCGGGGUCAACUCGGAGGAAGGUGGGGACGACGUCAAGUCAUCAUGCCCCUUAUGUCCAGGGCUUCACACAUGCUACAAUGGCCGGUACAGAGGGCUGCGAUACCGUGAGGUGGAGCGAAUCCCUUAAAGCCGGUCUCAGUUCGGAUCGGGGUCUGCAACUCGACCCCGUGAAGUUGGAGUCGCUAGUAAUCGCAGAUCAGCAACGCUGCGGUGAAUACGUUCCCGGGCCUUGUACACACCGCCCGUCACGUCAUGAAAGUCGGUAACACCCGAAGCCGGUGGCCUAACCCCUUGUGGGAGGGAGCCGUCGAAGGUGGGAUCGGCGAUUGGGACGAAGUCGUAACAAGGUAACC